rnacentral:rRNA from 1 species
GCACCACAAGAACGCGUGGAGCAUGUGGCUUAAUUUGACUCAACGCGGGAAAUCUUACCGGGUCCGGACACACUGAGGAUUGACAGGCAAUAUCUCAUGGUUAUUAACCCGGUUAUUACAUUUUGUUUAAUCGGUUAUUAAGCAUCGAGUGUUAAAUAUGCUAGUCCUUUCAUGAUUAUGUGAUAGGUGGUGCAUGGCCGUUCUUAGUUCGUGGAGUGAUCUGUCUGCUUAAUUGCGUUUCACUAAGGGCCCAUAAAUUCAAGGUAUGUUAGCUAUCGUCGCUCUAUGGACCCCUUAUACUCGAUUUCGCUUUAAUUAGCGUUAUUUGUUUAAUAAGCGCGCGUCUUUAUUUAAUGAGUUUAAGACACUGCGCAUGCUGUUGGGCUCUGAAAGCAAC